rnacentral:tRNA from 1 species
AAUGUAGUAGCUCAGAGACAGAGCUCCUGCCUAGGAUGCAUAUGUCCUGGGUUCAAUCCCCAGUACCAUUA